UACCAGCACCCCGAGUGGUCGGGACGUUUAUUGGGCCUAAAGCGUCCGUAGCCGGUUCUACAAGUCUUCCGUUAAAUCCAACUGCUUAACAGGUGGGCUGCGGAAGAUACUAUAGAGCUAGGAGGCGGGAGAGGCAAGCGGUACUCGAUGGGUAGGGGUAAAAUCCGUUGAUCCAUUGAAGACCACCAGUGGCGAAGGCGGCGUGCCAGAACGCGCUCGACGGUGAGGGAUGAAAGCUGGGGGAGCAAACCGG
rnacentral:rRNA from 1 species